rnacentral:rRNA from 1 species
CCUACGGGGGGCAGCAGUAGGGAAUCUUCGGCAAUGGACGGAAGUCUGACCGAGCAACGCCGCGUGAGUGAAGAAGGUUUUCGGAUCGUAAAGCUCUGUUGUAAGAGAAGAACGAGUGUGAGAGUGGAAAGUUCACACUGUGACGGUAUCUUACCAGAAAGGGACGGCUAACUACGUGCCAGCAGCCGCGGUAAUACGUAGGUCCCGAGCGUUGUCCGGAUUUAUUGGGCGUAAAGGGAGUGUAGGCGGUCUUUUAAGUCUGAUGUGAAAGCCCACGGCUCAACCGUGGAGGGUCAUUGGAAACUGGGAGACUUGAGUGCAGAAGAGGAGAGCGGAAUUCCAUGUGUAGCGGUGAAAUGCGUAGAUAUAUGGAGGAACACCGGUGGCGAAAGCGGCUCUCUG